rnacentral:lncRNA from 1 species
AUUGACCCCAAAUGUCCCCAAAUGUCCCCAAUGUCCCCCAUUGACCCCAAAUGUCCCCAAAUGUCCCCAAUGUCCCUAUUACCCUUAUUGUCCCCAAAUGUCCCUAUUGUCCCCAAUGUCCCCGUUACCCCAAUAUUCCCAUUACCCCAAUUACCCCCAACACCCCCAAUGUCCCCAACACCCUAAACGUCCCCAAAUGUCCCCAAAUGUCCCCAAAUGUCCCCAAAUGUCCCCAAUGUCCCCAAAUGUCCCCAAAUGUCCCCAUUACCCCAAUUACCCCCAUUACCCCAAAUGUCCCAAAUGUCCCCAAUUGUCCCCAUUACCCUUAUUGUCCCCAGAUGUCCCCAUUACCCCAAUUACCCCCAACACCCCCAAAUGUCCCCAUUGUCCCCAUUGUCCCUAAAUGUCCCCAAUUGUCCCCAAAUGUCCCCAAAUGUCCCCAUUGUCCCCAAAUGUCCCCAUUGUCCCCAAAUGUCCCCAAAUGUCCCCAAAUGUCCCCAAUGUCCCCAAAUGUCCCCAAAUGUCCCCAAUGUCCCCAUUACCCCCAAUGUCCCCAAUUAUCCCCAAUUGUCCCCAUUGCCCUAAAUGUCCCCAAUGUCCCCAUUACCCUAAAUGUCCCCAAAUGUCCCCAAUGUCCCCAAAUGUCCCCAGUGUCCCCAUUACCCUUAUUGUCCCGAAUUGUCCCCAAAUGUCCCCCAUUGACCCUAAAUGUCCCCAAAUGUCCCCAACUGUCCCCCCCUUUUAUAGGGUGACUCGGGCGGCCCCCUGGCGUGCCGCGUGGGGGGCUGGUGGCUGCUGGCGGGGGUGGCCAGCUGGGGGCAGGGCUGCGGCCUCCCCUCCCGCCCGGGGGUCUACACCCGGCCCGGCGCCCACGCCGCCUGGAUCGCCGCCACCGUCCCCGAGGCC